rnacentral:rRNA from 1 species
UACGUAGGGAGCGAGCGUUAUCCGGAUUUAUUGGGUGUAAAGGGUGCGUAGGCGGUUUAAUAAGUCUAAGGUUUAAGCCCGAAGCUUAACUUCGGUUCGCCUUAGAAACUGUUUUUCUAGAGUAUGGUAGAGGCAAGUGGAAUUUCUAGUGUAGCGGUAAAAUGCGUAGAUAUUAGAAGGAACACCAGUGGCGAAGGCGGCUUGCUGGGCCAUUACUGACGCUGAGGCACGAAAGCGUGGGGAGCAAAUA